AUUUUAUUCCUUUAACACUGUCUAGCCUCUGUUCCAGGUAGCCUCUGAAGGAAUCAAUCACAAUUCUCUUUUUAUUAGUAAGGUUUAUUUUGGACUCUGUAGAUAAAUACUAAAAAUGUUACAUCCUCUGCUUUCAACAGAAAGCCUCUACUGAAGAAAUUAAAAGAGAUAAUUUUCCAUUUUGUUUUGUUGUUUGUUUACUUGGGUGUUUUUUUUGGUUUUUUUUCACAAUUUGCCCCAUUAAAAACCCAUAAUUUACUUUGAAAAGAAUCACAAAAUAGGCAAUGGCAACUAAUAAGAAUGAACCAUGUGCUGGAAAGGAAUUAAAUAAUAAUCACUUAAAAAGGAAGAACAAUAUGUCUAAAUUAAAAUGCUGGUCAACAGAACACAAAGCUGACAUUUACAAAGGUUAUGUUUGACUGUAAUAAAAUAAAUGGCAGCUCAUUGUGUACACAGUUGUCAAUUAGCAUUGCAUAUGUCUCUCUUGGAUACAUUUAUUUUUGCCAAUGAUUUCUUAUUCAAGAUGCAAAUAUCUAUUAUUAAUGUUCAGUAAGUACUCCUGACUGAGGGAAAUAACUAAGAAUAAUAGUUGCCUCUUUUUAUUAGCAUUUUCUUUUCAUGGGAAUGUCACUAAAAUGAAAAAAUAAUGUAACCUCUAAAAUCAACAGAAUAUUUUGGAAACAGAAGAAUUAAAUACAGUAGAAAUAGAAGAGUUACAAGAAAAUCCCUCUUACUGUAGAUUCAAGUGAGACAAGAAUUACUCUUUUUAAGGUUAAAUUAACGCAAGUAAAUCUGUUAUUUAUGUACUUUAAACUUCUCAUCUAAAAUAGGGCUGCUAAUGGAGACAUGAUUAAUCUUGAAUAAAAGAUUUUAGCAACUGAAGGCAAAAAUUAUUUGCAAAAACAUUCUUAUUUAUUGCAAUGCAACUGUGUGUCUCCAUAAAAGCCCAAACUUUGUGAGUGAUUUAUCUAUAACGAAAAUUUUAUUUCCUCUUUUGCCGUUUAUCCAGAUAAGAAGCUCUCCAGCUGAAACUCAGAAGGGAUUGAAUAUAUUCUUCUGGCAUUGGCAUGGAGUGCCACUCUGCCUCAAGUGGAAAUGCAAAGGAAGCUGGCUGCAUUACUCAUUAAGCUGGAGCUUUGCUGGAUGCUACACAGACCCUUGGGUGGCACACAAAGGGGCUCAUUGCCAGAAUCACAUAUCAGUGGACCUUUGCUGGACUGUGCUAGAGGCGGAUUGAGGCAACAAAGAGAACUUAAAAAAGAAAAUUAGGAAAAGACAGCUACAUAGAGGAUGAUGGCUGGAGGAAUGCAUAAGGAGUCAACAGUAGCCAAGACAGAUAAUCUUUAUCUCAGAAAAAAUGAGUAAAUGUAAAAGAAAGGAUAUUCAGAUAGAAAAAGGGAAAAUAAAGGCAUUUUCUAGGUUUGUCUCUCUAGUAAC
rnacentral:lncRNA from 1 species